rnacentral:rRNA from 1 species
GAUGAACGCUGGCGGCGUGCCUAAUACAUGCAAGUCGAGCGAACGGACGAGAAGCUUGCUUCUCUGAUGUUAGCGGCGGACGGGUGAGUAACACGUGGAUAACCUACCUAUAAGACCGGGAUAACUUCGGGAAACCGUAGCUAAUACCGGAUAAUAUUUUGAACCGCAUGGUUCAAAAGUGAAAGACGGUCUUGCUGUCACUUAUAGAUGGAUCCGCGCUGCAUUAGCUAGUUGGUAAGGUAACGGCUUACCAAGGCAACGAUGCAUAGCCGACCUGAGAGGGUGAUCGGCCACACUGGAACUGAGACACGGUCCAGACUCCUACGGGAGGCAGCAGUAGGGAAUCUUCCGCAAAGGGCGAAAGCCUGACGGAGCAACGCCGCGUGAGUGAUGAAGGUCUUCGGAUCGUAAAACUCUGUUAUUAGGGAAGAACAUAUGUGUAAGUAACUGUGCACAUCUUGACGGUACCUAAUCAGAAAGCCACGGCUAACUACGUG